GGCUGAUUUAGUGAUUAAAACUUUGUGUGCUUUUGAAAUUCUUGGCAUUUAUGUAUUUGAAAUUAGAUUUUAUAAAUAAUAACUCUUUGAGUAGAGACAAACAGUUUGUGGGUAUCUGAGCCGGAAACCCUCACGAGACAAAACUCGUCCACUAGGGCCACCUAGGGGUUUAAAGCCUUAUUGCAUACGGUAAAUGCAAUCGCGAUUCCUACGAAAGUGAGUUAGUUUUUUUAUUUUACUCGAGGACUAGCAAAAUAUAGGUUGGGGGGUGUGAUAAGUGCUAAAUAAUACAUAAAUUAAUAUCUUAUUCAUAGCACUUAUCAUUAUUUUAAUUCAUAUAUUUAGUGAAUUUAACAUAAGAAAAUGUGUUCCCCUUCAUCAUGGCAUUAUUAAAAAUAAUUCGAGUUUGCUUGAUUUUAUUGGUCAAGUCUAAUAUGUGCAGAUCGAGUCGAACUAAUUGGGAUGAUGUUUGAAUUA
rnacentral:lncRNA from 1 species